GACCACAAGAGCAAUGCUACACCUGGGCCAUCUCCACGGCCCACUCGAGCCCAUCGUUUACCUGCACGGCCUGCAGGCCGAGAGUGGCUUCGCUGAAGCCUCUAAUACUCUAGUACUUAACCAUUGUCGAACCUGGUUGCCGGCUUAGGAAAGGAAUGGCUAGGCUAGGCUUAUUUGGAACAUGAACUCGUUGUGUGGGUGGUUGGGAGGAUAAUCACAGCUACCAAAUAUUCCAAUUCGUGAUCCAAUUCGUGUUCAUCUUGUGAGAUUUAGUUCAGGUGCUCACAAUCUGGUAUCAGAGCCGUACCAUCCUGGAUUUUCCCCACCACCGUUUCCACACCCGAUUCAAGGAUCGUCAGUGCGCGGCCGCCAUGGAUAGCCUCGAUCCGGAGGCGCGGCUUAUCUACGAUCUCCUCAAGGAAGGCCUCACGGCGGAUCAAGAGAAACGCGCUCGUGAGCAGCAAGACUCGACCGUGAUCGCCGUCCGCAAGAUGUUCGAUGAAAAUACUGCAAGGAUGGACGCCAUCGUCGCCAAAAUCGACGGCGUCCGCGAUGAAUUCAGCACCGAGCUUGCUCAGAUUCGUCUGGAUCUGGACAAGGGAGGAAGAGGUGACCACGACACGGGCGCUACGGGCAGCGUCAAGGGACACGGCUUCUACAAGCCUCCUCCACUCCGAGGUGAGCGCCCCAGUGCCAGUACUCUACACUCUUCUUCGUCCCAACCUACUUCGCCUCACCAUGAACACCUUGACGUUGUUACCUUGGACCUUGCGUGGAAUUGCCGCGUUUCGAUGGCACUAACCCGCAUCUCUAGCAAACCCGGUGUGAGGAUUACUUCCAACUGUGGGGCACCCCGAUGGCACUCUGGAUUCCUUAUGCUUCUGCUCAGUUCGUGGAUGCCGCCGCCCGUUGGUUAGAAUCGUUCCAGCGUCGGUUUCCUAGAGCUACAUGGCCAGAAUUUUGUCAGGUGUUACAUGCCCGAUUCAGUCGUAAUCAGCAUCAGAACUUGAUUAGGCAGCUAUUCCAUAUUUCUCAGACAUCUACGGUGCUUGAUUAUGUUGAUCGAUUCUCUGAGUUAUAUGACCAGUUGCCUGCUUAUGAGAACAUUCCAGAUCCACUGCACUAUCUGACUCGGUUUUUAGAUGGUUUGCACCUACCUGUGCGUAUGGCUGUUUCUCUUCAGAAACCUCAUGAUUUAGACGCUCCUUAUGAACUUGCUAUAUUGCAUGAAGAAUUGGCUGGUACUUCUUCUUCACCACCUACCCUAGACAGUACUCCAUCCCAUCGACGGCCUUUGCCUCUUCCGUUACCGCCGCCGCCGCCGCCGCCGCCAGCAUAGCGCACCAAACUCCAUGAUGAACGUCGCACAAUUGACGAUAAGUGGAUUGCUCUGAGGAAUUAUCAAAAGGCGAAGGGUUUGUGCUUCAUUUGUGGAGAGCGAUGGUCUAAGGAUCAUCAAUGCAAACCAAAUGUUCAGUUACAUUUUGUUCAAGAACUAAUUGACCACUUGCAGUUGGGACUGGAUCAGUCUUCUGAAUACCCGGCAUCUUCUGAUCAGGAGCAAGUGUACUCUCUUUCAUCUGCUGCUGUAGGGCAUGCUACUUCUGCAACUACCAUGCAGCUCACCCUUCAGAUCCAAGGCAGGAUGUUGGUAUUCUUAGUGGAUUCUGGCAGUACACAUACAUUCUUAGAUGCCACUCAUAUUCUGGGCCUACAAAGUGUUCAGAAACUCAAGCCUAUUACUGUCAAGGUCGCCGGUGGUGGUACACUCAAUUGUCAGUACAUCUUGCCUCAUUGUCAGUGGCCCUGCAAUGAUCAUCAGUUUAUCAGUGAUAUCAGAAUCUUACCCUUGGGAGCUUAUGAUGGUAUAUUGGGUCUUGAUUGGUUGACCAAGCAUAGCCCAAUGCAAGUAGAUUGGUCUCAGCGUUGGAUGUCCUUUUAUAGGCAGCAAGAAUUAGUCACAUUGCAUGGUAGUCUCCCUGAUGACUGUCCUAUUACUUUGGUUACUAUAGCAUCUCUACUUCCUGUGAAUCAACCAGAAGUUCCUCCUGCUAUGCAAAGUAUUUUAGAUCAGUAUCCUUCAGUUUUUUCUGCUCCUGUUGGUUUACCACCCAGAAGAAGCUAUGACCAUUGCAUUCCACUAAUUCCUGGCGCCAGACCAGUGACUAUCAGGCCUUACAGAGUAGCCCCACAUCUCAAAACUGAGAUUGAAACUCAAGUAUCUGAAUUGCUUCAGCAUGGCAUGAUCAGGCAUAGCAAUAGUGCUUUCUCUUCUCCAGUUAUUUUAGUUAAGAAGAAAGAUAAAACCUGGAGAAUGGUCGUGGACUAUAGGCAUUUGAAUGCUAUUACCAUUAAAGGGAAGUAUCCUUUACCUGUCAUAGAUGAGUUGUUAGAUGAAUUGUCAGGAGCCUGUUGGUUUUCUAAACUAGACCUUAAAGCUGGGUAUCACCAGAUUAGAUUGGCCCCGGGAGAGGAGUACAAAACAGCAUUUCAAGCUCAUAAUGGGCAUUUUGAGUUCACAGUCAUGGCAUUUGGUCUUACAGGAGCUCCUGGUACAUUUCAAGGAGCUAUGAACACUUCAUUGGCACCAGUUCUGAGGAAAUUUGCUUUAGUGUUCUUUGAUGAUAUCCUCAUCUACAGCAAAACCUUUGAGGAUCACUUAGUUCAUGUUGCUCAAGUUCUUGACAUCCUGGCUAAACAUCAGUGGAAGGUCAAGUUAUCCAAAUGUGCCUUUGCUCAGCAGCGCAUUGCUUAUUUAGGCCAUGUUAUUAGUGGUGACGGGGUAGCAACUUAUGAUAGUAAAAUUAGUACAAUCCGAGACUGGCCUGUUCCCGUUAAUGUUAAGGAGGUCAGGGGAUUUUUGGGCAUCACAAGGUAUUAUAGAAAAUUCAUUCGCCAUUAUGGCUUGAUUAGUAAGCCCUUGACUAAUUUACUCAAGAAAGGGCACGUGUUUGCUUGGACUGGGGAUACUAAAACAGCAUUUCUCACAUUGAAGCAAGCCCUUAUCACAGCUCCUGUCUUAGCUCUCCCUGAUUUUUCUAAGCAAUUUGUCAUUGAGACUGAUGCUUGUGAUGUGGGUAUUGGUGCAGUCUUAAUGCAAGAGGGGCAUCCUUUGGCCUUUGUGAGUAAAGGCUUGGGCCCAGGUAUCAAUCCUUGUCAGUUUAUGAAAAGGAGUAUUUGGCCAUCUUACUUGCUGUUGAGCAUUGGAGAUCUUAUUUGCAUGUAGGUGAAUUUUUGAUUCGCACUGAUCAAAAGAGUUUAGCUCAUCUGGAAGAUCAAAGAUUGCAUACUGAGUGGCAAUAGAAAGCUUUGACAAAAUUGAUGGGCCUCUCUUAUAAGAUACAGUACAAAAAGGGUAGUGCCAAUGCUGCUGCUGAUGCUUUGUCCAGGAAACCAAAUGAGGUUCAUCAUGUGUUGGUUGUUUCUUCUUUACAGCCUAGUUGGCUCUCUAAGGUAGUUUCUAGUUAUACAUCUGAUCCUAAAGCUCAACAACUUCUGCAGCAAUUGUCAAUUUCUCCUGAUUCUCAUCCUGCUUUUAAAUUGAAGAAUGGCUUGUUGCUUUAUAAGAACAGACUGUGGUUAGGACAUGAUAUUGGUCUGCAUUCUAAGGUUUUUCAGGCAUUUCAUAGUAGCCCAGUUGGCGGCCACUCUGGUUUUCCUGUAACCUAUAGAAGAAUUAAAUCCUUGUUUUCUUGGAUUGGCAUGAAGGCUUUUGUUAAGGAUCAAGUUCAAGGCUGUCAGAUCUGUCAACAAGCUAAACCUGAAAGAAUUCCUUAUCCGGUUUGCUUUCUCCUAUGCCAAUUCCUACUUCAGCUUGGGAAAUGAUUUCCAUGGAUUUUAUAAAUGGUUUGCCUGCAUCAGGCCAUUAUAACAGUAUCUUAGUUGUUAUUGACAAGUAUACUAAAUAUGGGCACUUCAUUCCCAUGCAUCACCCCUUUACUGCACAGAAAGUAGCUGAAGCUUUUGUGGAUAAUGUCUAUAAAUUGCAUGGUUUGCCCCAACACUUUAUUUCUGACAGAGAUCCUAUUUUCACUAGUCACUUUUGACAGUCUUUAGCUAAAUUGACAGGUUCUGCCUUGAGAAUGAGCUCUGCCUAUCACCCUGAAACGGAUGGUCAAACUGAGCGUGUGAAUCAACAAGUUGAGUGUUUCUCGCGUUGUUUCAUUAGUGCUCAUCCUACUAAGUGGUCCAAAUGGCUCUCGUCGUGUGAAUUCUGGUAUAACACUAACUGGCAUUCAUCUCUGAACAAGACUCCUUUUGAGGUAUUAUAUGGCCAGCAUCCUACUUAUUUUGGCCUCUCAGCUAAUUCUGCGGUUGCUCGAGUGGAUGUUCAACAGUGGCUUGACCAGCGCAAGGUGAUUCUAGCUUCUGUCCGCCAGCAUUUGCUUCGUGCCAGUCAGCGCAUGAAGCUUCAGGCCGACAAAAAAUGUACUGAACGCAGCUUUCAAGUGGGUGAUAUGGUCUUCUUAAAGUUGCAACCUUAUGUGCAAACUUCAGUGGUUCAUCGCUCCAAUCAUAAACUGGCAUUUCGUUUUUAUGGGCCUUAUCAAGUUUUGGAGAAGAUUGGUACUGUCACUUAUCGCUUGGCGUUACCUGCUACCAGCAGGAUACAUCCUAUUUUCCAUGUCUCCCAAUUGAAGCAAUGCUUAUCUCCAAAGCAUCAGGUACAAUCUGCCUUGCCUACUGAUUCGGCUUCCUUGCAAAUUCCAGUUUGUGUAUUGCAGCGUCGUUUGUCCCAACGUGGUUCUCAUUUAGUACUCCAAGGCCUGAUUCGUUGGAGUGGUGUACCGGAGUCUGAAGCCACUUGGGAGGAUCUGGACUCACUUCGUCAAGAGUUUCCAGCGCCGGGGCAAGCCGCUUCUGAAGAAGGAGGGGGUGUCAGCGACCUGGACAUGGACCACAAGAGCAAUGCUACACCUGGGCCGUCUCCACGGCCCACUCGAGCCCAUCGUUUACCUGCACGUGCAGGCCGAGGGUGGUUUCGCUGAGGCCUGUAAUACUCUAAUACUUGACCAUUGUCGAACCUGGUUGCCGGCUUAGGAAAGGAAAGGAAUGGCUAGGCUAGGCUUAUCUGGAACAUGAACUCGCUGUGUGGGUGGUUGAGAGGAUAAUCACAGC
rnacentral:lncRNA from 1 species